GGGGUUGUGGCUCAGCGGUAGAGUCCUUGCCUAGGACAAGCAAGGCACUGGGUUUGAUCCUCAGCUCCA
rnacentral:tRNA from 1 species